rnacentral:rRNA from 1 species
GACGAACGCUGGCGGCGUGCUUAACACAUGCAAGUCGAACGAUGAAGCCGGAGCUUGCUCUGGUGAAUUAGUGGCGAACGGGUGAGUAACACGUGAGUAACCUGCCCUUGACUCUGGGAUAACUGCUAGAAAUGGUAGCUAAUACCGGAUACGACCCUCGGAGGCAUCUUCAGGGGGUGGAAAGAAUUUCGGUCAAGGAUGGACUCGCGGCCUAUCAGCUAGUUGGUGAGGUAAAGGCUCACCAAGGCGACGACGGGUAGCCGGCCUGCGAGGGUGACCGGCCACGCUGGGACUGAGACACGGCCCAGACUCCUACGGGAGGCAGCAGUGGGGAAUAUUGCACCAUGGGCGCAUGCCUGAUGCAGCAACGCCGCGUGAGGGAUGACGGCCUUCGGGUUGUAAACCUCUUUUAGCAGGGAAGAAGCGAAAGUGACGGUACCUGCAGAAAAAGCACCGGCUAACUACGUGCCAGCCGCCGCAGUAA